rnacentral:rRNA from 1 species
UUCUGCGGCAUAUACCACCCUGAAUGUGACCGAUCUCAGCUGACCUGAGAAACUAAGCAGGGUCAGGCCUGGCUAGUACAGGAGCCCUGGUGAUACAGUGG